GGUCAGCGUGGCCCUAAACCUGGAAUGUUUUAUGCUUCUUGCAGGUGUCCGUUUGAGCGUGGGCUGUUCUGGCCAUCCCAGAUGUAUGAUCCAGCAUUUUUGAGAGUCCCCAUGGCUGCAGUUCCCAGUGUGCUGUGUCAGGUGUCUGGUUUAGCCUGGGCUGUUCUGGCAAUCCCAGAUGUAUGAUGCAGCAUUUUUGAGAGUCCCCAUGGCUGCAGUUUCCAUUGGUGUCCGUUUGAGCCUGGGACGUUCUGGCCAUCCCAGAUGUAUGAUCCAGCAUUUUUGAGUGUCCCCAUGGCUGCAAAUCCCAGUAUUGUGUGUCAGGUGUCUGGUUUAGCCUGGGCUGUUCUGGCCAUCCCAGAUGUAUGAUCCAGCAUUUUCGAGAGUCCCCAUGUCUGCAGGUCCCAUUGGAGUGUUUCAGGUUUUGCUUCUUGUGCUGUAUUUUCUGCUGGAAUUUCAGCAUUUCUUUGAUUUUAUUAAAACUAUUUUGUGUUUCAUUUUUGUGUC